ACAUCCAGAGAACUUGGCAGAGAUGCCUUGGUGCCUUCGGGAACUCUGAGACAGGUGCUGCAUGGCUGUCGUCAGCUCGUGUUGUGAAAUGUUGGGUUAAGUCCCGNAACGAGCGCAACCCCUAUCCUUUGUUGCCAGCGAUUCGGUCGGGAACUCAAAGGAGACUGCCGGUGAUAAACCGGAGGAAGGUGGGGAUGACGUCAAGUCAUCAUGGCCCUUACGAGUAGGGCUACACACGUGCUACAAUGGCGCAUACAAAGAGAAGCGACCUCGCGAGAGCAAGCGGACCUCAUAAAGUGCGUCGUAGUCCGGAUUGGAGUCUGCAACUCGACUCCAUGAAGUCGGAAUCGCUAGUAAUCGUAGAUCAGAAUGCUACGGUGAAUACGUUCCCGGGCCUUGUACACACCGCCCGUCACACCAUGGGAGUGGGUUGCAAAAGAAGUAGAUAGCUUAACCUUCGGGAGGGCGUUUACCACUUUGUGAUUCAUGACUGGGGUGAAGUCGUAACAAGGUAAGCGUACGUGU
rnacentral:rRNA from 1 species